rnacentral:rRNA from 1 species
AGGUUAACCGUAUAGGGGAGCCGUAGGGAAACCGAGUCUUAACUGGGCGAAUGAGUUGCAGGGUAUAGACCCGAAACCCGGUGAUCUAUCCAUGGGCAGGUUGAAGGUUGGGUAACACUAACUGGAGGACCGAACCGACUAAUGUUGAAAAAUUAGCGGAUGACUUGUGGAUGGGGGUGAAAGGCCAAUCAAACCGGGAGAUAGCUGGUUCUCCCCGAAAGCUAUUUAGGUAGCGCCUCGUGAACUCAUCUUCGGGGGUAGAGCACUGUUUCGACUAGGGGGUCAUCCCGACUUACCAACUCGAUGCAAACUGCGAAUACCGAAGAAUGUUAUCACGGGAGACACACGGCGGGUGCUAACGUCCGUCGUGAAGAGGGAAACAACCCAGACCGCCAGCUAAGGUCCCAAAGUCAUGGUUAAGUGGGAAACGAAGUGGGAAGGCUCAGACAGCCAGGAUGUUGGCUUAGAAGCAGCCAUCAUUUAAAGAAAGCGUAAUAGCUCACUGGUCGAGUCGGCCCGCGCGGAAGAUGUAACGGGGCUAAACCAUGCACCGAAGCUGCGGCAGCGACACGUAGUGUUGUUGGGUAGGGGAGCGUUCUGUAAGCCUGCGAAGGUGUACUGUGAGGUAUGCUGGAGGUAUCAGAAGUGCGAAUGCUGACAUAAGUAACGAUAAUGCGGGUGAAAAACCCGCACGCCGGAAGACCAAGGGUUCCUGUCCAACGUUAAUCGGGGCAGGGUGAGUCGACCCCUAAGGCGAGGCUGAAAAGCGUAGUCGAUGGGAAACGGGUUAAUAUUCCCGUACUGGUGGUAACUGCGAUGGGGGAACGGAGAAGGCUAGGUUGUCCGGGCGACGGUCGUCCCGGUUCAAGCAGGUAGGCAGAGUGAUUAGGCAAAUCCGGUCACUUAAUGCUGAGAUGUGAUGACGAACCACUAAGGUGGUGAAGCAAUUGAUGCCCCGCUUCCAGGAAAAGCCUCUAAGCUUCAGGUUACCAACAAUCGUACCCCAAACCGACACAGGUGGUCAGGUAGAGAAUACUCAGGCGCUUGAGAGAACUCGGGUGAAGGAACUAGGCAAAAUGGUGCCGUAACUUCGGGAGAAGGCACGCUGGCGGUAGGUAAAGUCCCUCGCGGACGGCGCUGAAGCCAGUCGAAGAUACCAGCUGGCUGCAACUGUUUAUUAAAAACACAGCACUGUGCAAACACGAAAGUGGACGUAUACGGUGUGACGCCUGCCCGGUGCUGGAAGGUUAAUUGAUGGGGUUAGCGUAAGCGAAGCUCCUGAUCGAAGCCCCAGUAAACGGCGGCCGUAACUAUAACGGUCCUAAGGUAGCGAAAUUCCUUGUCGGGUAAGUUCCGACCUGCACGAAUGGCGUAAUGAUGGCCAGGCUGUCUCCACCCGAGACUCAGUGAAAUUGAACUCGCUGUGAAGAUGCAGUGUACCCGCGGCAAGACGGAAAGACCCCGUGAACCUUUACUAUAGCUUGACACUGAACAUUGAGCCUUGAUGUGUAGGAUAGGUGGGAGGCUUUGAAGUGUGGACGCCAGUCUGCAUGGAGCCAACCUUGAAAUACCACCCUUUAACGUUUGAUGUUCUAACCUAGGCCCAUAAACUGGGUCGGGGACCGUGUCUGGUGGGUAGUUUGACUGGGGCGGUCUCCUCCUAAAGAGUAACGGAGGAGCACGAAGGUUGGCUAAGCAUGGUCGGACAUCAUGCGGUUAGUGCAAAGGCAUAAGCCAGCUUGACUGCGAGAGUGACGGCUCGAGCAGGUACGAAAGUAGGUCUUAGUGAUCCGGUGGUUCUGAAUGGAAGGGCCAUCGCUCAACGGAUAAAAGGUACUCCGGGGAUAACAGGCUGAUACCGCCCAAGAGUUCAUAUCGACGGCGGUGUUUGGCACCUCGAUGUCGGCUCAUCACAUCCUGGGGCUGAAGUAGGUCCCAAGGGUAUGGCUGUUCGCCAUUUAAAGUGGUACGCGAGCUGGGUUUAGAACGUCGUGAGACAGUUCGGUCCCUAUCUGCCGUGGGCGUUGGAAGAUUGAGAGGGGUUGCUCCUAGUACGAGAGGACCGGAGUGAACGCACCACUGGUGUUCGGGUUGUCAUGCCAAUGGCAUUGCCCGGUAGCUAAGUGCGGAAGAGAUAACCGCUGAAAGCAUCUAAGCGGGAAACUUGCCUCGAGAUGAGUCUUCCCUGUCGCUUUAAGCGACCUAAAGGAACGUUUAAGACUAAGACGUUGAUAGGCUGGGUGUGUAAGCGUAGCGAUACGUUGAGCUAACCAGUACUAAUGAACCGUGAGGCUUAACCUG